rnacentral:rRNA from 1 species
GCUUGUCUCAAAGAUUAAGCCAUGCAUGUCUAAGUAUAAACUGCUUAUACUGUGAAACUGCGAAUGGCUCAUUAAAUCAGUUAUAGUUUAUUUGAUGGUACCUACUACUCGGAUAACCGUAGUAAUUCUAGAGCUAAUACAUGCGUAAAAUCCCGACUCUCGCGGGGAGGGAUGUAUUUAUUAGAUAAAAAACCAAUGCGGGGCAACCCGGUUUUGUGGUGAAUCAUAGUAACUUUUCGGAUCGCAUAGCUUCACGCUGGCGAUAGUUCAUUCAAAUUUCUGCCCUAUCAGCUUUCGACGGUAGUGUAGUGGACUACCGUGGCGUUAACGGGUGACGGAGAAUUAGGGUUCGAUUCCGGAGAGGGAGCCUGAGAAACGGCUACCACAUCCAAGGAAGGCAGCAGG